AGGACGGUUUGAGUAAGUGAUAUUUCGGAACAGUAUCUGAAAGAUACUGAAGAUACUGUUCCGAAAUAUCACUUACUCGAAC